rnacentral:rRNA from 1 species
GACGAACGCUGGCGGCGUGCUUAACACAUGCAAGUCGAACGAUGAAGCCGGAGCUUGCUCUGGUGAAUUAGUGGCGAACGGGUGAGUAACACGUGAGUAACCUGCCCUUGACUCUGGGAUAACUGCGGGAAACUGUAGCUAAUACCGGAUACGACCAUCGGAGGCAUCUCCUGGGGGUGGAAAGAAUUUCGGUCAAGGAUGGACUCGCGGCCUAUCAGCUAGUUGGUGAGGUAAAGGCUCACCAAGGCGACGACGGGUAGCCGGCCUGAGAGGGUGACCGGCCACACUGGGACUGAGACACGGCCCAGACUCCUACGGGAGGCAGCAGUGGGGGAUAUUGCACAAUGGGCGCAAGCCUGAUGCAGCAACGCCGCGUGAGGGAUGACGGCCUUCGGGUUGUAAACCUCUUUUAGCAGGGAAGAAGCGAAAGUGACGGUACCUGCAGAAAAAGCACCGGCUAACUACGUGCCAGCAGCCGCCGCCG